rnacentral:rRNA from 1 species
AGAGUUUGAUCCUGGCUCAGGAUGAACGCUGGCGGCGUGCUUAACACAUGCAAGUCGAACGAAGCACUUUAAUUGAUUUCUUCGGAAUGAAGUUUUUGUGACUGAGUGGCGGACGGGUGAGUAACGCGUGGGUAACCUGCCUCAUACAGGGGGAUAACAGUUAGAAAUGACUGCUAAUACCGCAUAAGACCACGGAGUCGCAUGGCUCAGUGGGAAAAACUCCGGUGGUAUGAGAUGGACCCGCGUCUGAUUAGGUAGUUGGUGGGGUAACGGCCUACCAAGCCAACGAUCAGUAGCUGACCUGAGAGGGUGACCGGCCACAUUGGGACUGAGACACGGCCCAAACUCCUACGGGAGGCAGCAGUGGGGAAUAUUGCACAAUGGGGGAAACCCUGAUGCAGCGACGCCGCGUGAGCGAAGAAGUAUUUCGGUAUGUAAAGCUCUAUCAGCAGGGAAGAAAAUGACGGUACCCGACUAAGAAGCACCGGCUAAAUACGUGCCAGCAGCCGCGGUAAUACGUAUGGUGCAAGCGUUAUCCGGAUUUACUGGGCGUAAAGGGUGCGUAGGCGGUCUUUCAAGUCAGGAGUUAAAGGCUACGGCUCAACCGUAGUAAGCUCCUGAUACUGUCUGACUUGAGUGCAGGAGAGGAAAGCGGAAUUCCCAGUGUAGCGGUGAAAUGCGUAGAUAUUGGGAGGAACACCAGUAGCGAAGGCGGCUUUCUGGACUGUAACUGACGCUGAGGCACGAAAGCGUGGGGAGCAAACAGGAUUAGAUACCCUGGUAGUCCACGCUGUAAACGAUGAGUACUAGGUGUCUGAGGUUACCCCCUUCGGGCGAGCAGUAUACGCAUUAAGUAUUCCGCCUGGGGAGUACGCAGCGCAGGUGAGAAAUUCAAAGGAAUAGUCGGGGACCCGCACAAGUAGCGGAGCAUGUGGGUAAAUUAGAAAGCAACGCGAAGAGCCUUACCAGGUCUUGACAUCCCCCUGACCGGUCCGUAACGGGACCUUUCCUUCGGGACAGGGGAGACAGGUGGUGCAUGGUUGUCGUCAGCUCGUGUCGUGAGAUGUUGGGUUAAGUCCCGCAACGAGCGCAACCCCUAUUUCCAGUAGCCAGCAGUAAGAUGGGAACUCUGGAGAGACUGCCGGGGAUAACCCGGAGGAAGGUGGGGACGACGUCAAAUCAUCAUGCCCCUUAUGAUCUGGGCUACACACGUGCUACAAUGGCGUUCACAAAGGGAAGCGAAGCUGUGAAGCGGAGCAAACCCCAAAAAGGACGUCUCAGUUCGGAUUGUAGUCUGCAACUCGACUACAUGAAGCUGGAAUCGCUAGUAAUCGCGAAUCAGAAUGUCGCGGUGAAUACGUUCCCGGGUCUUGCACUCACCGCCCGUCA